UCCUUAGAUGUUCUGGGCUGCACGCGUGUUACAAUCGGGAGUACAACAAGAUUGCAAAUCCUAGUGGAUGAGUGGUUCUUCGAAAUUUUCUGAAGACUGGGAUAGUUGAUUGAAAUUAUUCAACUCGAACGAGGAAUUCCUUGUAAUUGUAAUUCAUUAUAUUGUAAUGAAUACGUCCCUGCCCUUUGUACACACUGCCCGUCGCUCCUACCGAUUGAACGAUCCGGUGAAUUAUUUGGAGUAGCUCUGGAAGUUGCAGAACUUCCUAUGUCACGAAAUUUUGUAAACCUUAUCGUUUAGAGGAAGGAAAAGUCGUAACA
rnacentral:rRNA from 1 species